rnacentral:tRNA from 1 species
GGUCGUAUAGUGUAGCGGUUAGCACAUCGGAUUCUGAUUCCGGUAACCCUGGUUCGAUUCCUGGUAUGACCU